UACAGAGGGGGCAAGCGUUGUUCGGAAUUACUGGGCGUAAAGGGCGCGUAGGCGGCCUUCUAAGUCGAACGUGAAAUCCCCGGGCUCAACCCGGGAACUGCGUCCGAGACUGAAAGGCUCGAAUCCGGGAGAGGGAUGUGGAAUUUCAGGUGUAGCGGUGAAAUGCGUAGAUAUCUGAAGGAACGUCAGUGGCGAAAGCGACUUCCUGGACCAAUACUGACGCUCAUGUGCGAAAGCGUGGGAGCAAACAGGAUAGAAACCCUGAGUAGUCCGAGUCACCAAGAUCUCCUCUCGAACCGUA
rnacentral:rRNA from 1 species